rfam:Hordeum vulgare subsp. vulgare, WGS project CAJW01000000 data, contig: morex_contig_44607
UUAAUACUUCCUUCGUCUUAAAAUUCUUGUUUCAAAUUUGCUUAGAUAUGAAUGUAUUUAGUCAUGUUUUAGUAUUUUGAUACAUCCAUUUCUAGACAAACCUAAGACAAGAAUUUUGAAACCAAGGGAGUAUAAA